GUUUUCCAUUUUCCUGGUGAGUCAUUUGAAUCUGGUGGGUAGUUUGGGUCUCCCCCACCCCAACAGGAUUGUACUAUGACAUUGUAGUUGUGCAGCUCUAAAGAAAACUAAUGAGGGGCGCCUGGGUGGCUCAGUCAGUUAAGUGUAUGACUUUUGGUUUCAACUCAGGUCAUGAUCUUGCGGUUUGUGAGUUCAAGCCCCGCAUUGGGCUAUGCUCUGACAGUGUGGAUCUUACUUGGGAUUCUCUCUGUCUCUUUCUCUGACCCUCCACUGUUCGUGUUGCCUGUCCCUUUCUCCAUAAAUAAAUAAACAAAUGAGAAAAAAUGAAAACUAUGCAUGGAAAAGGGAACUCUGCUCAUUGGAUAUAGAUGUGAGUUGUGGUGCUUGCUCUAAAAACACCUCCCAAAUGUUACGUUUUCAUUGACUCAUGACAUUAGUCAGUAGGCUUGCAGUAUAGUCUGGGACAUGGCAGUAGGAAAAUUAGAUGAUCAAGUCUCAGACUUGGUGGGAACAAACAUUAUGGCAGAAGAAUGCACAAGACCCAUGCCUUCUGUUCACAACCCAUGUGGGUGCCUAUGGGAAAGGACUGUUGGAGGAUAAACAGAAAUGCAAUCAACAAGCUGAUUUGGCCUGAACUUCCCAAGUAAGGACUGUAGCCACAUGGAUAUACUAUCACCGAGGGAAUGGCAAUCCAUUUACAAGUCAGGACUGGGCGUGAAAAUAAGCUGUUGUGAUUUUAGCACCUGAGACCAAGGAAGCCUGGCACACAUGCCCAAACUGCUAACUACACACUUAAGUAGCAAGUGGAACUCAAGGACACAUAAUCUGGGGCACUGGUCUUGGCAAAUGGACUAUGUAAUUAGUCCUCUCAUUCUUCAUCCCCCCCCCACCCCCCGCCACUUCCAUGUCUUCUUCCUGGGAAACUGGGGUACUGGGGUUUGUGAAUAUAAAAGAAGAGCCAGGGAGUGGAAGAAUCUAACUUGGUGUUUUGUUUUGCUCCCAAACUAAGUUUCCUGGAUUUGGACUGUUAUGGAUGAUGAUAAUGAUCAUGGAUAUGGAAUGACAAGUCUAAAGUGCUCCUAGUCUGGCCCAGAGGAUGGGAGGUGUUCUAGGGUGUUACAUGUUGGACAAGAAAGAAACUGCUGAGCCACCUGGAAAUGAUUCUGGACAUAUGGUGAUCGAAGACCUCAUUGAUCCACUUAACAAACAAGAUAUGAGUAACCCAAGCUUUGCUGUUGGACCUCCACAUAACGUUUAACUGGCUUUUCUGCACCUUGCAUUUCUUGAAGGCUCAUGGAUUCCUGGAAUGAUACACAAGCAAAGGCUUGACUUUGAAAUCCCCACUUGCAUUAGCAUAACACAUGAGGAGAAGAAAACUGAGGUUCACAGAAAGUCUAUAUGAUCAAGUUUCCACAAUUCACAAGGAGUAUAACUGGGACAUGAACCCAGAUAAACUUGAUGCAAAUUUGCUGAACAUCUACUACCACAAGGAAUGACCAAUAAUGUUAAUAUUUUUUUGUCUUAAACCCAAUCCUACAUCAUUAAUUGUGUGAAAUAAAGCCGCCAUAGAAACUCCCAUAUCAUAGAGUAUCAUGGGGACUUAAUUUUUUCUAAUUACUGAUGUAAUAUGUGUGGGGUUCAGAGAUUUUGAAAAAUAUAGGCAAUAUGUAAGAGGAGCCAUUGCUAAAAUUUGGUUAUAGAGUUUCUAAGAUUUUGUUCUUUGUUUAUAUGUACAGAUUUUAAGCAAAUGUAGAAACAUAUUGCUUUGUUACUUUUUCUUUAACAUAAUAAUACCGUAUAUUGACCAGUGUUUUCUGUGACAAUAAAUACUAAUGUUUAAUGUUUUCAUUUAUUUUUGAGAGAGAGAGAGAGAGAGAGAGAGAGAGAUUGAGAGAGAAAGAGAGACUGAGCACAAGCAGGGGAGGGGCAGAGACAGAGGGACACACAGAAUCCGAAGCAGGCUCCAGGCUCCGAGCUGUCAGCACAGAGCCUGACGUGGGGCUUGAACCACAAACCAUGAGAUCAUGACCUGAGCCGAAGUCAGACGCCCAACCAACUGACCCACCCAGUGCCCCCCCCCCCUUUUUAAGUAGGCUCCAUGCCCAGCAUACGGUUUGAACUCAUAUCCCUGAGAUCAAGAGCAGAUGCUCUAUUGACUGAGCCAGCGAGGUGCCCCAGAUUUAUCAUUUUUGACAUUGUGCCAUAUUUGCCUUAUCUCUCUCUCCCUUUCUUUCUCUCCAAACACUCACACACACACACACACACACACACACACACACACACACACACACAUUUAUGUUUUUUCAACCAUUUGAGGUAGGUUGCGUAAGUCAUAUUUCCUUUCCCUUGAAAACUUUAGUGUAUUUCUAAGAAAAAGAAUAUUUUCUCACACAACUACAGUACAGUUACCAAACUUAGGAAACUUAACAUUAAUAAAAUACUUUCAUUUUA